rnacentral:rRNA from 1 species
UACGUAGGGUGCAAGCGUUGUCCGGAAUUAUUGGGCGUAAAGAGCUCGUAGGCGGUUUGUCGCGUCUGCUGUGAAAACCCGAGGCUCAACCUCGGGCCUGCAGUGGGUACGGGCAGACUAGAGUGCGGUAGGGGAGAUUGGAAUUCCUGGUGUAGCGGUGAAAUGCGCAGAUAUCAGGAGGAACACCGGUGGCGAAGGCGGUCUGCUGGGCAGUGGACCCGUGAGGGUCCAAUAGCCGACGACUGAUGCGCGACAGCGUGGGGAGCAAACAGG